CCUACGGGAGGCAGCAGUAAGGAAUAUUGGUCAAUGGACGCAAGUCUGAACCAGCCAUGCCGCGUGAAGGAUUAAGGUCCUCUGGAUUGUAAACUUCUUUAUCUGGACGAAAAAAGGCGAUUCUUCGUCACUUGACGGUACCAGAUGAAUAAGCACCGGCUAACUCCGUGCCAGCAGCCGCGGUAAUACGGAGGGUGCAAGCGUUAUCCGGAUUCACUGGGUUUAAAGGGUGCGUAGGCGGGCAGGUAAGUCAGUGGUGAAAUCCUAGAGCUUAACUCUAGAACUGCCAUUGAUACUAUCUGUCUUGAAUAUUGUGGAGGUAAGCGGAAUAUGUCAUGUAGCGGUGAAAUGCUUAGAUAUGACAUAGAACACCUAUUGCGAAGGCAGCUUACUACGCAUAUAUUGACGCUGAGGCACGAAAGCGUGGGGAUCAAACAGGAUUAGAUACCCUGGUAGUCCACGCCCUAAACCGAUGAUUACUCGACAUUUGUGAUACACUAUAAGUGUUGUGAGAGAAGAGAUUAAGUUAAUACCUACCGUUAGGUUAAGUACGACCGACGAAGUUAGACGUUACGAAGAGAGUUAGACGGCGNGAGACGNGCGACGGACGACGACGAGGGAGGUAGG
rnacentral:rRNA from 1 species